rnacentral:misc_RNA from 1 species
UUCAAGCCUUCGGUGGCAUUUUUAAAAGUGUGACUUCUCGACUGUCCAGUCCAGGCAGAGUGUGGGGGAGGAUGAGAUGGGCGGUGGCACUGCUUGGCAUAGUCUCUCUCUUUCAGUAGCUCUAGGAUUUGUAUUAGCGGGCCUUGGCCAAACUUGUAAUAUAGAGCUACUUUUAGGCUCUAUUUGUUAACAUUGUGAUCUUUGGGCACUUAUUUGAGUUGUUCUUC